rnacentral:lncRNA from 1 species
UCUGAGCUGACAAUAUACGUGCUAAGUGCACUGAGCUGUGAGCCUUCCUUUCUGAUUUAUAGACAGUGCUGUUAGAGAAGGCACGUCUAACACAUAACGAGGAUGUGAUAGGAUGAAUUCCUUCACAACAACUGCUCUGCAGAGCAACAGGAAUGAGCCCCCUCAACGACCUCGAGGCAGCCAGGAGAGCACACUAAAGACACUCAUGAAAGAGGACCUCCAGAACUGCUGCAGAAAGUAGCAGGGACAAUGUGGUGAGCACGUUCAGAGUGACAGAGAGCAUGUUGAGAAUGAAUGGUAAUGUACUGAAGUUUUCAAUCG